GGAGAUUCUAAUGUUGGGCUAAUUUGGGGGGGGAAAUCUGAGAUAUAAUUUUGCUAAUAUUUUAAGAACCAAAAUAUACUCUGGAGAACAAAUUUGUAUUGUUCAGGGAAUGUUUACCUUGCCAAGUAAACUUCCCUGAAUAGAAAUAUACCUAAACUAGUUUUGUGUUUUUGCAUCUAAGAAUACAUUGAUCGAGAUGAAGGGCUCACCCUAUUCACAGCUCCUUUCUUUUGUGGGCUCCUCAUGUGCUCUGUUGAAUGACAGCGUCUAGCUUAUCUGUAGCUCAGUGUUCCUCAUAUCCCCACAGCCUCUUCCGCAGAGACACGAGGAAGUGGAAACAGAUGGAACUGGCAUUUCCCGUAUACCUGGAAUGCUCCAGCAUUCUUCAAAGCCUGUUUGUGUACACCAGUAGCCAAAAUACUGUGACUUUUGUGCACCUUUGUUAAACAGCCAAAUCACUGACUCCAGAUGCAGUUGAUCAGAGUUCUAUAAUUUUUUUAACCUCCUACAGAAUAAUCAAUUUAAUAGAUAUUAUUAAUAUGGUAGCAUCCUCUUACAUAAUUCUGGGGCUUAAGAAUAAAAAUAAUUCAUCGCU
rnacentral:lncRNA from 1 species